AUACGUAGGGGGCGAGCGUUGUCCGGAAUGAUUGGGCGUAAAGGGCGCGUAGGCGGCCUGUUAAGUCUGGAGUGAAAGUCCUGUUUUCAAGAUGGGAAUUGCUUUGGAUACUGAUGGGCUUGAGUGCAGGAGAGGUUAUCGGAAUUCCCGGUGUAGCGGUGAAAUGCGUAGAGAUUGGGAGGAACACCAGUGGCGAAGGCGACUUACUGGACUGUAACUGACGCUGAGGCGCGAAAGUGUGGGGAGCAAACAGGAUUAGAUACCCUGGUAGUCCACACUGUAAACGAUGAAUGCUAGGUGUAGGGGGUAUCGACCCCUUCUGUGCCGCAGUCAACACAAUAAGCAUUCCGCCUGGGGAGUACGGCCGCAAGGUUGAAACUCAAAGGAAUUGACGGGG
rnacentral:rRNA from 1 species